GCCGAAGUGGCGGAACUGGCAUACGCGGAGGUCUCAAACACCUCUCCGAAAGGUUAGGAGUUCAAAUCUCCUCUUCGGCA
rnacentral:tRNA from 1 species